GGGUCGCUGGCUCAACUGGCAGAGCAGCCGCCUCUUCAGCGGCGGGUUCGGGGUUCGAGUCCCCGACGGCCCA
rfam:Nocardia sp. NRRL S-836 P437contig49.1, whole genome shotgun sequence.